GUAGAUCAAGGUGGUCCUAAAUUAGUACUAUUCGCAUUUUAUUCCCCGUGGGCCUUUUUUAAAGCAUGAGUUCACAUUCCCACCUUAGGUAGUGUUCCUGUGUGUAAAGGACAUAUUGUGAUGAAUUAAAUUUUUUCUUCCAGAGGCAGUCAUUCAAAAUCAGCUACUCAAAUGCCAUAGCAACCACAAAAGGCAGAGAAAGUGAGACAACAUAUCGAAUGUAUGUCUGAAGGAAGUGCUGGGUUGUUUG